AUGAAUUACACCACAUAUGAUUUGGAGUUAGCAGUCAUAGUGCAUGCACUCAAGACCUGGAGAAAUUUUAUUCUCGAAAACAGUUGUGAUGUUUACACGGAUCAUAAGAGCUUAAAGUAUAUUUUCACGCAGAAAGAGUUGAACCUCAGGCAGAGAAGAUUGCUAGAGUUAAUCAAAGACUCUGACAUGAGAUUGCAUUACCACCCAGGAAAGGCUAAUGUUGUAGCAGAUGCCUUGAGCCAUAAGAGUUAUGUGAUUACUCUUAUAGCGGGAGGAUUGCCCCAAGAGUUAGUCGAUGACCUCAGAGAUCUUCGACUAGAGAUAGUUCCGAGAGGAUAUGUUACAGCUCUUCAAGUUCAGUCCACUUUGACCGAAAGAAUUAGUGAAGCCCAGAAGUCGGACAAGGAAAUUGAUGAGAUAAAGAAAAGGAUGAAUGAAGGAAAAGCUAAAGGGUUCCGUAAGGAUGAGUAUGGAGCUAUAUGCUUCUAG
rnacentral:rRNA from 1 species